CGGGGAGUAGCUCAGUGGAAGAGCUGCGGCGGUCCAACGUCGACGACGGAGGUCGAUCCCUUCCUCCCCUGCCA
rnacentral:tRNA from 1 species